rnacentral:rRNA from 1 species
AUUGAACGCUGGCGGCAGGCCUAACACAUGCAAGUCGAGCGGAUGAAGGGAGCUUGCUCCUGGAUUCAGCGGCGGACGGGUGAGUAAUGCCUAGGAAUCUGCCUGGUAGUGGGGGAUAACGUCCGGAAACGGGCGCUAAUACCGCAUACGUCCUGAGGGAGAAAGUGGGGGAUCUUCGGACCUCACGCUAUCAGAUGAGCCUAGGUCGGAUUAGCUAGUUGGUGGGGUAAAGGCCUACCAAGGCGACGAUCCGUAACUGGUCUGAGAGGAUGAUCAGUCACACUGGAAUUGAGACACGGUCCAGACUCCUACGGGAGGCAGCAGUGGGGAAUAUUGGACAAUGGGCGAAAGCCUGAUCCAGCCAUGCCGCGUGUGUGAAGAAGGUCUUCGGAUGGUAAAGCACUUUAAGUUGGGAGGAAGGGCAGUAAGUUAAUACCUUGCUGUUUGGACGUUACCAACAGAAUAAGCACCGGCUAACUUCGG